CUUUCUACCUGGCAGGUAAGUAGUAGGCUACAGUGGACGGCGCUGCACUGCAGUGCUUCUCUGUACUAUGCGACAAUACGGACUACAGGGUGAUAACAGAUAAAUAGCUUACCCAUCGUGACCAGAGAAUCCAGAGAACUCAUCAGACUCGACAGAACCAGAGAACCCAUCAGACCCAGAGAACCCAGAGAACUCAUCAGACUCGACAGAACCAGAGAACCCAUCAGACCCAGAGAACCCAGAGAACUCAUCAGACUCGGCAGAACCAGAGAACCCAUCAGACCCAGAGAACCCAGAGUACUCAUCAGACUCGGCAAAACCAAAGAAUCCAUCAGAACCAGAGAACCCAGAGUACUCAUCUGACUCGGCAGAACCAGAGAACCCAUCAGACCCAGAUAACCCAGAGAACAGCAGGUGUUGUUAGUAGGGCAGCACUGAACUCCAUACUUUUCAUUUAUGGUUAUUAGGGUGACUAGACUACACAUUGUAGAUUGAACGUAUUUUACUCCGUGUUUUAUUACUGAGUGUUCAUGCAACUUGGGACAAAAGCAUGUAUUUGUUUAUGAAUACUCUGAAAAUACAACCAGCCUGUUGAGCCAGGCCUACCA